AACGAACGCUGGCGGCAGGCUUAACACAUGCAAGUCGAGCGCCCCGCAAGGGGAGCGGCAGACGGGUGAGUAACACGUGGGAAUCUACCCAUCCCUACGGAACAACUCCGGGAAACUGGAGCUAAUACCGUAUACGCCCUUUGGGGGAAAGAUUUAUCGGGGAUGGAUGAGCCCGCGUCGGAUUAGCUAGUUGGUGGGGUAAAGGCCUACCAAGGCGACGAUCCGUAGCUGGUCUGAGAGGAUGAUCAGCCACACUGGGACUGAGACACGGCCCAGACUCCUACGGGAGGCAGCAGUGGGGAAUAUUGGACAAUGGGCGCAAGCCUGAUCCAGCCAUGCCGCGUGAGUGAUGAAGGCCUUAGGGUUGUAAAGCUCUUUCGCCAGGGACGAUAAUGACGGUACCUGGAUAAGAAGCCCCGGCUAACUUCGUGCCAGCAGCCGCCGCCGUAA
rnacentral:rRNA from 1 species